CCCUUAGAUGUCCGGGGCCGCACGCGCGCUACACUGAAGGAAUCAGCGUGGCUUUCUCCCUGACCCGAAAGGGUUGGGAAACCCGUUGAAUCUCCUUCGUGAUAGGGAUUGGGGCUUGAAAUUGUUCCCCAUGAACGAGGAUUUCCCAGUAAGCGCGAGUCAUAAGCUCGCGUUGAUUACGUCCCUGCCCUUUGUACACACCGCCCGUCGCUACUACCGAUUGAACGGUUUAGUGAGGGCCUCGGAUUGGUCUCGGCCCGCUCUUUACCGGGCGGCGCCGUUGGUCGAGAAGACGCUCGAACUUGAUCGUUUAGAGGAAGUAAAAGUCGUAACA
rnacentral:rRNA from 1 species